rnacentral:rRNA from 1 species
GUAGGGAAUCUUCCACAAUGGACGAAAGUCUGAUGGAGCAACGCCGCGUGAGUGAUGAAGGGUUUCGGCUCGUAAAACUCUGUUGUUGGAGAAGAACAGGUGAUAGAGUAACUGUUAUCAUCUUGACGGUAUCCAACCAGAAAGCCACGGCUAACUACGUGCCAGCAGCCGCGGUAAUACGUAGGUGGCAAGCGUUGUCCGGAUUUAUUGGGCGUAAAGCGAGCGCAGGCGGUUUUUUAGGUCUGAUGUGAAAGCCUUCGGCUUAACCGGAGAAGGGCAUCGGAAACCGGGAGACUUGAGUGCAGAAGAGGACAGUGGGACUCCAUGUGUAGCGGUGAAAUGCGUAGAUAUAUGGAAGAACACCAGUGGCGAAGGCGGCUGUCUGGUCUGUAACUGACGCUGAGGCUCGAAAGCAUGGGUAGCGAACAGGAUUAGAAACCCCUGUAGUCC